UACGUAGGGUGCAAGCGUUAAUCGGAAUUACUGGGCGUAAAGGGCGCGUAGGCGGCUUAACAAGUCACUUGUGAAAUCUCCGGGCUUAACUCGGAACGGCCAAGUGAAACUGUCAAGCUAGAGUGCAGAAGGGGCAAUCGGAAUUCUUGGUGUAGCGGUGAAAUGCGUAGAUAUCAAGAGGAACACCUGAGGUGAAGACGGGUUGCUGGGCUGACACUGACGCUGAGGCGCGAAAGCCAGGGGAGCAAACGGG
rnacentral:rRNA from 1 species